GACGAACGCUGGCGGCGUGCCUAACACAUGCAAGUCGAGCGGAGGCAUCUGAAGAGCAAUCGGAAGGUGUUUGAGCGGCGGACGGGUGAGUAACGCGUGAGCAACCUGCCUAUCACAGGGGGAUAACGCAGCGAAAGCUGCACUAAUACCGCAUGAGACCACGGGGGCGAAGGCUCCAGGGGUCAAAGGAGCGAUCCGGUGAGAGAUGGGCUCGCGUCUGAUUAGGUAGUUGGUGAGGUAAAGGCCCACCAAGCCUAUGAUCGGUAGCCGGCCUGAGAGGGUGAACGGCCACAUUGGAACUGAGAGACGGUCCAAACUCCUACGGGUGGCUG
rnacentral:rRNA from 1 species